GUUAUAAAGGAAAGCUGUGGCCUGGUCCCACCAUGGAGCUCUUGGAUUUAUUGCAGAUUGCAGAUCUGGCUGCUGAAGCUGACAAUGGUUGGGAAAGUGACAUGUCUGCUGUUUUGCUUCUGCUGCAUCUUCUGCACAAGGAUGUAGAGGCGUCUGCAUCUCAAGCAGCUCAUCAGAUUUCUACAGUGUGUAACGUACUCAGCCCUGCCUGCUCUCCCUGGGAUCCAUCCAGAGCAGAGUUCAUGCUUUCUU